rnacentral:rRNA from 1 species
UGGGGAAUAUUGGGCAAUGGGCGAAAGCCUGACCCAGCAACGCCGCGUGAAGGAAGAAGGCCCUCGGGUUGUAAACUUCUUUUCUAUGGGACGAAGAAGUGACGGUACCAUAGGAAUAAGCCACGGCUAACUACGUGCCAGCAGCCGCGGUAAUACGGAAGGUCCGGGCGUUAUCCGGAUUUAUUGGGUUUAAAGGGAGCGCAGGCCGCCCCUUAAGCGUGUUGUGAAAUGCCGCGGCUCAACCGUGGCACUGCAGCGCGAACUGGGGGGCUUGAGUGCGCCGGAGGUAGGCGGAAUUCGUGGUGUAGCGGUGAAAUGCUUAGAUAUCACGAAGAACUCCGAUUGCGAAGGCAGCCUACCGUAGCGUUACUGACGCUGAGGCUCGAAGGUGCGGGUAUCGAACAGG